GAGGCCUAACACAUGCAAGUCGAGCGGCAGCGCGGGAGCAAUCCUGGCGGCGAGCGGCGGACGGGCGAGCAAUGCUUGGGAAUCUGCCCAUCAGUGGGGGACAACCCGGGGAAACUCGGGCUAAUACCGCAUACGUUCUGAGGAAGAAAGCAGGGGAUCGCAAGACCUUGCGCUGAUGGAUGAGCCCAAGUCGGAUUAGCUAGUUGGUGAGGUAACGGCUCACCAAGGCGACGAUCCGUAGCUGGUCUGAGAGGACGACCAGCCACACCGGAACUGAGACACGGUCCGGACUCCUACGGGAGGCAGCAGUGGGGAAUAUUGGACAAUGGGGGCAACCCUGAUCCAGCGACGCCGCGUGGGUGAAGAAGGCCUGCGGGUUGUAAAGCCCUUUCGUUGGGGAAGAACAGUUCCGACCUAAUACGUCGGGACCUUGACGUUACCCAAAGAAGAAGCACCGGCUAACUCUGUGCCAGCAGCCGCGGUAAUACAGAGGGUGCGAGCGUUAAUCGGAAUUACUGGGCGUAAAGCGCACGUAGAUGGCUUUGUAAGUCGGAUGUGAAAUCCCCGGGCUCAACCUGGGAACUGCAUUCGAAACUGCAUUGCUCGAAUGUGGAAGAGGGAAGCGGAAUUCCAGGUGUAGCGGUGAAAUG
rnacentral:rRNA from 1 species